AUCUGAUGAGAGUGGCGCACGGGUGAGUAACGCGUAUGCAACCUGCCUAUAACUGGAGAAUAGCCCCCGGAAACGGGGAUUAAUGUCCCAUAAUGUUCAGAGAUCGCAUGGUUUUUGGACUAAAGCUCCGGCGAUUAUAGAUGGGCAUGCGUGCCAUUAGCUAGUUGGUGAGGUAACGGCUCACCAAGGCUACGAUGGUUAGGGGGUCUUAAAGGAUGAUCCCCCACACUGGUACUGAGACACGGACCAGACUCCUACGGGAGGCAGCAGUGAGGAAUAUUGGUCAAUGGGCGCAAGCCUGAACCAGCCAAGCCGCGUGAAGGAUGACGGCCCUAUGGGUUGUAAACUUCUUUUGUAUGGGAAGAACUCCCCGACGUGUCGGGGGCUGACUGUACUAUACGAAUAAGCAUCGGCUAACUCCGUGCCAGCAGCCGCGGUAAUACGGAGGAUGCAAGCGUUAUCCGGAUUCAUUAGGUAUAAAGGGUGCGUAGGCGGAUUAAUAAGUCAGUGGUGAAAUACUACAGCUCAACUGUAGAACUGCCAUUGAUACUGUUAGUCUUGAGUACAAUUGAGGUAGGCGGAAUGUGUGGUGUAGCGGUGAAAUGCUUAGAUAUCACACAGAACACCGAUUGCGAAGGCAGCUUACUAAACUGUAACUGACGCUGAUGCACGAAAGCAUGGGGAGCAAACAGGAUUAGAUACCCUGGUAGUCCAUGCUGUAAACGAUGAUCACUCGCUGUAUGUCCAUUAGGAUAUGUGGCUGAGCUAACGCAUUAAGUGAUCCACCUGGGGAGUACGGCGGCAACGCUGAAACUCAAAGGAAUUGACGGGGGCCCGCACAAGCGGAGGAACAUGNNNNUUAAU
rnacentral:rRNA from 1 species